GGGGCUAUGGCUCAGUUGGGAGAGCGCUUCAUUCGCAUUGAAGAGGUCGCGGGUUCGAAUCCCGCUAGCUCCACCA
rnacentral:tRNA from 1 species